AUGUGCAUCCGAUGCGGGCUCCCUGGACAUGUCUCCUCCCAGUGCAUGAGGCCGCGCAGUCCCGUCUCGGCAGAUGAGCUCCGUCGAGCGGUGAUCUCCAAGGUUGCCAGGACCGGGCCGGUGCCGGCGUCGCUGCACGGUGUGGGGGGGUUGCUGCCGGAGCCUAGGCAGGAUGCACCGCGUGUGCUGUCUUCGCCAGUUGCGCCCAGCUUCACUCCCAUGGUGCCCGCCUACACUACCUCGGCCCCGGCGGCAGCGGAGGUCUGCAUCUUGGCACGCUCUGAGGGGAUGGAUGACCUCGAGCGCUGGCUGCAGCUGGCUGUGGUGGCUUAUGUCGGGGGGUCACGGCUGCCGGUUUCAUGUGUGGACGCAGCUAUAGCAAUCUCUGAAGAGCUCAACAUCCCGAGCUAUCGCUUUUCGGCGCACAAAUAUCACCCGGAGGAUUUCCUCAUUGUGUUCGCUUCGCAUGAACUCCGAAACAGAGCAUUGGCUUGUCCAUUGGUGGAGCACCAGGGUUUCAAGCUCUUCAUCAAGCCGUGGUUGAGGCAGGCUCAGGCAAAAUCCAGACUGAUGCGUGUUCAGGUUGAUCUGAUGAUCGAGGGUGUGCCGUCCCAUGCUUGGGCCAGAUCCACGGCGGCGGAGCUGCUGGGAAGUUCAUGUCUGAUUGAUAGCCUGGCACCGGAGACUGAAAGCAGGGAAGAUCUCUCUCUGUUCAAGCUUCGUGCCUGGUGCGUGGACCCGGACGAGAUCCCUGCAUGCCGAAGAUUGUGGGUGCCAGAGCCGCCCGCACUUGGAGAAAACCCGGCGGAGCGCCGCCCGUCAUUUCGUCAGCUGUUGGAAUAUCCGAUCUUGGUUCACAUUGGCAAAUUGCGGGAUUUCUCUCCUCCAGAGCUCUGGCGUCGCUCGCCUAGCUCGGACGGUGACAGUGGCCAGCGCGGCUUGCUAGGCAGUUCGGCAGCGUCUCAGGGCGGCGAGUGGACGGUGCAGAACUGGACGCGCGGCGUCUGCGACAACCGUGGGUUUGGCCGGAAUCAUGCUGGUCCAGCGGGAAGCGGCGGUGCUGGCAGAUCCUAUCGCCAGGUCCUAGAAGGACGAGUGGGGCCCUCUAACUGGCGCAUCCCACCAAUGAGCAGGAGUGGCCUGGCUGUGGAUGCGGUCAUGAGUGGGGUCCAGAUGGACUGUAGUGGAGCGGAUUUCGAAUUCGCCUCCGGUGAUUGGUCUCGCGUCAGCUGGGCAGUUGGGAGCGCCAACUCAGUCCGUUGGCGCGGAGAUCGAGACCACGGUUCCAGAAAAGGUGGUUGGUGA
rnacentral:rRNA from 1 species